ensembl:snoRNA SNORD81 Small nucleolar RNA SNORD81
CAAUACGUGAUGAUCACACUCCAAUUUGAACUCUCUCACUGAUUACUUGAUUACAAUAAAAGAUUUGAUAAUCUG